AACCUUUUCCACCAUUUGGAUUCAAGUUGAUUUUUAAAUUUUGUCGUUUUCUUGUGUUAUUUGAUAGUUUUUAUAGUAGUAUAAUGCCUGAACAACAUGUCAUAAAGUUUCAUCACAUAGCCUUGUUUUUCAUUGAUGCCACUAGAUUCCUUAAAAGAGGUGAAAAUGGUUACAGCAGUGGGCAUGUACAAAAAUUUUUAUGUGACGGAACUGUGAAACCAAUGUUGAUAAAGGGGGAGGUUAAAGCCAGCAUGAAAGCAAACAAUUAUAACGUUGAGGUUUCCUUUGAUCUAGAUGAAGGAGUUAAGGAGGCGUCAUGUACUUGCCCAAGAGGAAAGGUCCUUUGCCACCAUAUG